rnacentral:lncRNA from 1 species
GAGUUUUCUUGUUUGCUUAUGGCGGAAUACAGCUCCUUCAAUGCUGUCUUACCACCACAGUCAGAGGCUGGCACCAUGUAAACAGCUACGAAAAACACAGGUCACAACUCUCUAGAUUGCACGUUUGCUAGGAGAAUUAGAAGGAAGUGGGGGUUUAUUCAAUCGCUUACGAAUUCUCAGAAGGCUGCCCGCCCUCCGGACCCUUUUUCUCUGCCUCCUCUUCACGCAAAUCACGGGGAUCUGGGGCCUGUUCCCGAGAAAGCAGUACAUCGUUCGCCGUCGGCCUCAUCAGAUUCAUUAAAGGAAAAAAAGGAUUCUGCUAGUCCGUGCAAGAAGAACGGAUGGCAGUAGGAGUUUACUCGCUCGCCUACGGAUUCUCAGAAGGCAGCCCGAUCUGUGGCCCCUUUUUCCUGCGUCUUUUCUUCACACAAAAGGCGUGGAUCUGGGCCUGUUCCAGUCGGACUCGUUAAAGGAAAAAGUUUCUUCCAGUCCGCGGACAACGACCCAAAACACACCUCCAGGCUGUGUAAGGGCUAUUUGACCAAGAAGGAGAGUGAUGGAGUGUUGCAUCAGAUGACCUGGCCUCCACAAUCACCCGACCUCAACCCAAUUUGAA